CGAUAGUGAACAAGUACCGUGAGGGAAAGGUUAAAAGAACCCCGGAAGGGGAGUGAAAUAGAACCUGAAAUUGUGUGCGUACAAGGAGUUGGAGCCGGCUUGUCCGGUGACAGCGUGCUUUUUGUAGAACGAUCCAGCGAGUUAUUUGCAUACGCAAGCUUAAGCCAUUUGGCGGAGGCGUAGUGAAAGCGAGCCUGAAUAGGGCGUCUAGUGUAUGUAAAUAGACCCGAAACCGAGUGACCUAACCAUGGUCAGGCUGAAGCGUGGGUAAAACCACGUGGAGGGCCGAACCGUAGUGAUCUGCAAAACACCCGGAUGAACUGUGGUUAGAGGUGAAAUGCCAAUCGAACUCGGAGAUAGCUGGUUCUCCUCGAAAUAGCUUUAGGGCUAGCGUUGUACGGUAGGAUAGUGGGGUAGAGCUCUGUUUCGGACUGGGGCGCGUGAGCGUACUCACCCUUGACAAACUACGAAUACGCUAUCUGGAACUACAGCAGUCAGAACGGCGGGGCUAAGCUCGUCGCUCGAAAGGGAAACAGCCCAGAUCGCCAUCUAAGGUCCCUAAGUCUACGCUCAGUGGGAAACGAGGUGAGAUUUCUUAAACAACGAGGAUGUUGGCUUAGAAGCAGCCAUUCAUUUAAAGAGUGCGUAACAGCUCACUCGUCAAGAGAUCUUGCGCGGAAAAUGUAACGGGGCUUAAGCGUAGCACCGAAGAUGCGAAUGUGUACAUUUUAUUAUGUAUGCGUGGUAGAGGAGCGUUGAUAUCUGCAUUGAAGUCGAACCGCGAGGUUUGGUGGAGCGUUAUCAAGUGAGAAUGCUGGAAUGAGUAACCAUAAGGCAGGUGAGAAUCCUGCCCACCGAAAGAGCAAGGUUUCCUGGGCCACGGUAAUCGUCCCAGGGUUAGUCGGUCCUAAGCCGAGGCGCGUAGCGUAGGCGAUGGACAACGGGUUAAUAUUCCCGUACUAGUGUUAUUUUGUUUGGCGUGCGCGGCAUGUUAGUAGGAGCGGAUUCAUGGUUAUAUCCGUCUAAGUAGGAGAAAUGCCUACGAAUGAAACGACUUUUGGGUCGAAUUCCUGUGAUAGUGCUGACUAGAAAAGCUACCAAACGCGUGGAUAAUGCUAUCCGUACCGCAAACCGACACAGGUGCUCAGGUCGAGAAGACCAAGGUGUACGAGUGAUUCUUCGUUAAGGAACUCGGCAAACAAGCGGCCGUAACUUCGGGAUAAGGCCUACCUCCCUCGGGAGGUUGCAACUAAGGAACCCAUGCAACUGUUUACCAAAAACACAGGUCUCUGCUAACACGAAAGUGGAUGUAUAGGGGCUGACUCCUGCCCGGUGCNNUAACUAUAACCGUCCUAAGGUGAAAAAUGCUGCCUUAGUAGAGUGAAAGACUCUCUUCUGUUUUACCUCCUCCAUGAGGUUUUGGAAGAAAAUUUGGCUAUAUGCUGGAACAUCUGAGUAUCGAACUGUACUAGAUAUGAAAAUAUUUAGUGACAAUCAGUUUCGUGCAGACAAUCAGCAGGGAAGGCUUACGCAAGUAAGAACCCUCAGAGACUACACGCCGAACACCCUAUUUAUUUAAGGUGAAGAUAUAGUCCGACCUCUAUGGCGACAUAGAGACUGUGUGAGAAAUCAUACGGCGCCUAACUUAUAGGUUUUUAAGUAACAGAAUAUUUGAGCGAAAUUCCUUGUCAGGUAAGUUCUGACCCGCACGAAUGGAGUAAUGAUAUGGGUACUGUCUCAACGAAGAGCUCGGUGAAAGUGCAUUGACGGUAAAGAUGCCGUCUGUCCGCAGCAGGACGAAAAGACCCCGUGCAGCUUUACUACAGCUUGACAUUGAAUCGGGUUGUAACAUGUGUAGGAUAGGUGGGAGACUUUGAAGCCUAGGCGCUAGCCUAGGUGGAGUCAUCAGUGAAAUACCACCCUUGUUAUGAUCUUAUUCUUACCUGGACCGCAAAGGUCUGAUAACUUUUUGUUGUCGGCCCUUUCCGGUUCGGGGACCGUGUCUGGUGGGUAGUUUAACUGGGGCGGUUGCCUCCUAAAAAGUAUCGGAGGCGUUCAAAGGUUAGCUAGGUUCGGAUGGAAAUCGAAUCGAUAGUGUAUACGCAUAAGCUAGCUUGACUGUGAGGCCUACAAGCCAAGCAGGUACGAAAGUAGGAGUAAGUUUUCCGCUGUCAGUACAUUUUUGUACAAGAGUGUGGUAUCGGCAGCGCUUUCGNNCCAAGGGUCCGGCUGUUCGCCGGUUAAAGAGGUACGUGAGCUGGGUUCAGAACGUAAAUAACAUUGCGUUCUACUACUGAGAAGUAGUAUAGAUACGGGUGUACAUCGCACCAAUCGUAUCAAAUCUGACUAAAAUCGGUGAAACCCCACCUAAACAUCGAACGGUUUAGAGGGCAAUACCGAGGGAAGACGUUUUUGUAAUAAGAAGAUAAGGCCUAGAAACUGAAAUUUUGCUAAAAAUGCAGUUUCGCGAUGAAUAUUUACAUUAUUGUAAGUACUUCAAAGUCGGCUUAAGAGAAGCGCGAUUUGUAUCAACGCUUUUGUAUCCCUUUCUUCAUACUAUUACAUUAACGUCC
rnacentral:rRNA from 1 species